rnacentral:rRNA from 1 species
GACGAACGCUGGCGGCGUGCUUAACACAUGCAAGUCGAACGGUGAAGCGCCUUCCUUUUUGGUGGGUGUGGAUGAGUGGCGAACGGGUGAGUAACACGUGAGUAACCUGCCCCCUUCUUCUGGAUAACCGCAUGAAAGUGUGGCUAAUACGGGAUAUUCUGGGUCUGUCGCAUGAUGGGUCUGGGAAAGAUAUUGUUUCGGUGGGGGAUGGGCUCGCGGCCUAUCAGCUUGUUGGUGGGGUGAUGGCCUACCGAGGCGGUGACGGGUAGCCGGCCUGAGAGGGUGGACGGUCACACUGGGACUGAGACACGGCCAAGACUCCGACGGGAGGCAGCAGUGGGGAAUAUUGCACAAUGGGCGGAAGCCUGAUGCAGCGACGCCGCGGGAGGGAUGGAGGCCUUCGGGUUGUGAACCUCUUUCGCCAGUGAAGCAGGCCUGCCUCGUUUGUGGGUGGGUUGACGGUAGCUGGAUAAGAAGCGCCGGCUAACUACGUG